rnacentral:rRNA from 1 species
GACGGACCGUGCGAACGUUAUUCGGAAUCACUGGGCUUAAAGCGCGUGUAGGCGGGCCGCCCCGUCGGCUGCUGAAAUCCCCCGGCUCAACCGGGGAACGGGCACCGAUACGAGCGGCCUGGAGGGGGGUAGGGGGGUCUGGAACUUCCGGUGGAGCGGUGAAAUGCGUUGAGAUCGGAAGGAACGCCCGUGGCGAAAGCGAGGUCCUGGACGUUUUCUGACGCUGAGACGCGAAAGCCAGGGGAGCGAACGGG